AGAGCGAACGCUGGCGGCGUGCUUAACACAUGCAAGUCGAACGCGCAGCAUUCUGUAGCAAUACAGGGUGUGGGCGCGUGGCGAACGGGUGCGUAACACGUGGAUAACCUUCCUUCAGGUGGGGAAUAACCCAGUGAAAAUUGGGCUAAUACCGCAUAACAUGACGAUGCCACAUGGUGUUGUCUUCAAAGGCGCAAGUCGCCAGAAGAGGGAUCCGCGGCCGAUUAGCUUGUUGGCGAGGUAAUGGCUCACCAAGGCAAUGAUCGGUAGCCGGACUGAGAGGUUGGCCGGCCACACUGGAACUGAGACACGGUCCAGACUCCUACGGGAGGCAGCAGUGGGGAAUCUUGCACAAUGGACGAAAGUCUGAUGCAGCAACGCCGCGUGGGGAUGAGCUUUCGGAGUGUAACCCUUCGACCGGAGAAUGCCCGCAAGGGUUGACGGUACGGUAUAAGACGCCCGGCUAACUACGCGCCAGCAGCCGCGUAACG
rnacentral:rRNA from 1 species